rnacentral:lncRNA from 1 species
UUUGACAAAUGCAGUUCUAAUUAGGCAAAUGCACCUUUCUUAUUUCUUUCACUGAAAUUAAGAAUUGAAGCAGGUGCUGUAGAUUAAUUGAUGACAGGAGCAAUGCGGACAUGAAUGACCACUGACAAGAUGAAGGAGAGCAACAUACAGAGGGUGGAGGUGGAGGUUGGGAGUUUGGGUUUAAUACUAAAAUAAAUAUUUUAAUGGUUAAAUCAUGUACAUUCUUGAAGUUUUCUUUCAAUGAUUUGCUAUCUUGUUCCCACUUGAUUGCAAGUUAGCUCUCUCAGUAUGCUUGCUGGAUUUUCUUGACAGACCUGAAUCUUUCUUUU